rnacentral:rRNA from 1 species
AAACGCUUGAAGUCAGUCGCGUUGGCCGGGAAUCAGCCUUGCUUUUGCAUGGUGUACUUUCUGGUUGACGGGUCAGCAUCAAUUUUGACUGCUGGAAAAAGGCCUGGGGAAUGUGGCAGCUCCGGCUGUGUUAUAGCCCCUAGUCACAUACAGUGGUUGGGAUUGAGGAACUCAGCACGCCGCAAGGCCGGGUUUCGACCACGUUCGUGCUUAGGAUGCUGGCAUAAUGGCUUUAAGCGA